rnacentral:rRNA from 1 species
UACGUAGGGACCAAGCGUUGUCCGGAAUCAUUGGGCGUAAAGCGCGCGUAGGUGGCUUCGUAAGUCCGUUGUGAAAGUCAAAGGCUCAACCUUUGAAAGCCGAUGGAUACUGCGGAGCUAGAGUACGGAAGAGGCGAGUGGAAUUCCUGGUGUAGCGGUGGAAUGCGCAGAUAUCAGGAGGAACACCAAUAGCGAAGGCAGAUCUCUGGGCCGUAACUGACGCUGAGGCACGAAAGCGUGGGUAGCAAACAGG